AGAGUUUGAUCCUGGCUCAGGAUGAACGCUGGCGGCGCGCCUAACACAUGCAAGUCGAACGGUUAAAGCACCUCCGGGUGUGUAUAAAGUGGCGAACGGCUGAGUAACACGUGGGCAACCUGCCCCUCGCACCGGGACAGCCUCGGGAAACCGUGGAUAAUACCGGAUACUCCGGACCCCCCGCAUGGGGGGACCGGGAAAGCCCAGACGGCGAGGGAUGGGCCCGCGGCCUGUUAGCUAGUUGGUGGGGCAACGGCCCACCAAGGCGAUUAUGGGUAGCUGGGUUGAGAGACCGACCAGCCAGAUUGGGACUGAGACACGGCCCAGACUCCUACGGGAGGCAGCAGUGGGGAAUCUUGCGCAAUGGGCGAAAGCCUGACGCAGCGACGCCGCGUGCGGGACGAAGGCCUUCGGGUCGUAAACCGCUUUCAGCAGGGACGAGGGGGAAACCUGACGGUACCUGCAGAAGAAGCCCCGGCUAACUACGUGCCAGCAGCCGCGGU
rnacentral:rRNA from 1 species